ensembl:lncRNA
CCUAUUCUGAUUGCGGAUGCAAAUUGGAAGGUCGCGUUUGAUUUGCCAGGUACCACGGUUGCCAAUCCAUACACCUGUCCCCUCACAUACUCUGCCUUCACUCCAUGGGUUGGUGAGAAUGUCAGAGUGAUGUUGUCUCGAAGACUGAAGUGCUGAAAGGUUUCGGUCAAAAGGACCAAGCACCCACUUCAGGGACUGCCUCUGCCAUAGAUGAGGACACCAUAUUAAAAGUGUUGGAGUCCCAUCCACCAAAGAGGGAUGACUUGGCGAAGGCAUGCACUGCCCUUGGGGUCCCUGAUACCGGGAGCACUACAGAUUCAA